UGCAAGCCGAGCGGUAUAGAUUCUUCGGGAUCUAGAGAGCGGCGCACGGGUGCGGAACACGUGUGCAACCUACCUUUAUCAGGGGGAUAGCCUUUCGAAAGGAAGAUUAAUACCCCAUAAUAUAUUUGAUGGCAUCAUUAGAUAUUGAAAACUCCGGUGGAUAGAGAUGGGCACGCGCAGGAUUAGAUAGUUGGUAGGGUAACGGCCUACCAAGUCAACGAUCCUUAGGGGGCCUGAGAGGGUGAUCCCCCACACUGGUACUGAGACACGGACCAGACUCCUACGGGAGGCAGCAGUGAGGAAUAUUGGACAAUGGGUGAGAGCCUGAUCCAGCCAUCCCGCGUGAAGGACGACGGCCCUAUGGGUUGUAAACUUCUUUUGUAUAGGGAUAAACCUACCCUCGUGAGGGUAGCUGAAGGUACUAUACGAAUAAGCACCGGCUAACUCCGUGCCAGCACCCGCGGUAAA
rnacentral:rRNA from 1 species